UACGAAGGGGGCUAGCGUUGCUCGGAAUCACUGGGCGUAAAGGGUGCGUAGGCGGGUCUUUAAGUCAGGGGUGAAAUCCUGGAGCUCAACUCCAGAACUGCCUUUGAUACUGAGGAUCUUGAGUUCGGGAGAGGUGAGUGGAACUGCGAGUGUAGAGGUGAAAUGCGCAGAUAUCAGGAAGAACACCCGUGGCUAAGGCGGCUCUCUAGUACGGUACUGACGCUGAGACGCGAAAGCGUGGGGAGCGAACAGG
rnacentral:rRNA from 1 species